GAUGAACGCUAGCGGCAGGCUUAAUACAUGCAAGUCGAACGGGAUUCGGUGUAGCAAUACAUUGAUGAGAGUGGCGCACGGGUGCGUAACGCGUAUGCAACCUACCUUUAACAGGGGAAUAGCCCCGAGAAAUCGGGAUUAAUACUCCGUAACAUUGCGAUGUGGCAUCACAUUGCAAUUAAAGAUUCAUCGGUUAAAGAUGGGCAUGCGUGACAUUAGCUUGUUGGUGAGGUAACGGCUCACCAAGGCAACGAUGUCUAGGGGUCCUGAGAGGGUUAUCCCCCACACUGGUACUGAGACACGGACCAGACUCCUACGGGAGGCAGCAGUAAGGAAUAUUGGUCAAUGGGCGCAAGCCUGAACCAGCCAUGCCGCGUGCAGGAAGACGGCCCUAUGGGUUGUAAACUGCUUUUGUCAGGGAAUAAACCUGUUUACGUGUAAACAGCUGAAGGUACCUGAAGAAUAAGCAUCGGCUAACUCCGUGCCAGCA
rnacentral:rRNA from 1 species